CUAAAAGCACAGACAACGGCAAGAAAUCCGAGAUUUUCCCCGGAUGGAAACUGUUGUCGUUUCUGCGCGUGACACAUUCGCUGUGAUGAUCUGUACGUGUGAUAAAACCUUAGAUGGGAACAGUAUGAUCAAAUUAGGUGAUCAGCCCAGGUGAGGUGGCAUGGUCCGUACAGAUAUGGAGGUGGGAAUUCUGCCUGUUGAGCUUUGGCGUCUCAUCCUGGCAUAUCUGCCUCUCCCAGACUUGGGCCGCUGUUGUCUUGUGUGCAGAGCCUGGCGUGAACUCAUCCUGAGUUUGGACAGCACUCGCUGGCGCCAGCUCUGUCUGGGAUGCCCAGAAUGUCGCCACCCGAACUGGCCCCGUCGGCCCCACCUUCCUCCGCCGUCCUGGAGGGAGGCUCUUCGUCACCAUGCUCUUGCCAGUCGUACCUGGACUCAGAAUGGUUCGGAACUCCACUCGUCUGCCUGCCUCCAUCUUUUCCGCCGAAGGAAAGAUCGCAGGGUUUGGCACGUUGGCACAAUGGCAGGAGGUGGAUACGAGACGCUCAGGGGGGCACUGGCUGUGGCAGGGCCGUAUGAUAAGCUGGUGCUUCAUGCCGGUGUGUAUGAGGAACAGGUGGAAGUGGCCCUCAAAGUGCCAGUGGAGAUUGUCGGAAUGGGGAAGUUGGGGGACGUGUCGUUAUUGGUGUGUUUUGACCAGCAGUGCCCGACAGCAAGACUGUGCAAUUUAGUGUUCAUGCCAGCGUGGUUUUCACCUGUGGUUUAUAAGACAUCCUCAGGUCAUGUCCAGUUGGACAACUGUAAUUUUGAGGGCUGUCAGCUGCAUAUUAGGGGGCCAGGAACGUGUCAGGCUCGCUUCUGCUCCUUUGCCCAGGGCAGCUCUGCCCACUUUCUGGGUGUGGCCAUCAGUUUGAUGGACAGCUGUGAAUUCUCAGGGGGAGAUUCUGCGUCUGUCACUGUGGAAGGUGCUCCGGUCUCUGAACGCAACUGGGCCUUCAAGCACCUGGUCGCCUUGGCCAAGACCUUUACAGUAAUGCCUACUAAUGGGUUUACAGAACGAACCAAACCAGAGGGCAAAGACAGCACAGGAGCUGAUAGUCCUGGAGACAGAACCUUAAAAGGAGUAAGCACAACGGAGGACUGGAAUAAAGAGGAAGUAGAUUGGGAAACCAGUUGGACGAAGCAAAAAAAAGUAGAUAAUCUUAUUCCAGGUCAGGAUGGCACAGUUAUCGAUGAAGAUGGUAUGGAAACAUCGAGCGACUCCAGCGAGGAAGAAGAUGAGAAAGACAUCGAGAAAAGCACAGCCUUUAAACUUUCGUACGAGAAUCACGGACUAGCGCAUCUCUCCAAACCGCAUAUGGCUGAUUCAUCUGCAUUUCCUGCGCUGCUGGAUCUAUCCGCAGAGCUGCAGAGGGAUGCGGAGGCACGGGAAUUGGUGGCAUCAGUUCAAGGCUGCCUGCUGCGUUGCUGUCUGCUGCGGGAUGGAAAAGGUGGCGUGCACCUGUGCAAUCACGGUCAGGCUCGCCUGGAGGCCAACGUUUUCAGAGGCCUUAACUACGCAGUGCGCUGCAUCCAGUACGCAAAAAUGGUGAUGUUGCGUAAUGAAGUGUGUGGGUGCAAGGCGUCUGGUGUGUUCCUGCGACUCUCUGCUCAAGGUCUCAUUGCCGAGAACAACAUCCACUCAAACGGAGAGGCGGGAUUAGACAUCCGUAAAGGGGCCAACCCUGUCAUACUGUGUAACAGAAUCCACAGCGGCCUGCGUUCCGGGAUCGUUGUCCUGGGCAACGGGAGAGGUUCUAUUCGAAGCAACCAGAUCUAUGGGAAUAAGGAAGCUGGCGUCUAUAUUCUUUUUAACGGGAAUCCUGUGGUCAGUGGGAAUCACAUUUUCCAUGGACUUGCAGCAGGCAUCGCUGUGAAUGAAAACGGAAGAGGACUGAUCUCUGACAACGUUAUUAGGCAGAACCAAUGGGGAGGUGCUGACAUCCGUCGAGGAGGAGAUCCAGUCCUGCGCAAUAACUUCAUCUGCUAUGGAUAUUCAGAUGGCGUGGUGGUGGGAGAGAGAGGGAGGGGUCUCAUUGAAGGCAACCACAUAUAUGGUAACAGAGGCUGUGGGGUAUGGGUCAUGUCAUCCAGUCUACCUCAGCUCACCGGGAACUACAUUAACCAUAACCGUAUGUACGGGCUUGCCGUCUUCUGCCGGAAGGACACGGAGUCGACAUUGAGCAGAGACGGCUAUCGCUCUUUACAGGAGAGAGGAGUGGCGGCCGGAGAACGGGACAGAGGAGGGCCGGAGAAUUUCAAUGAGGAAGGAGAAUUGAUGGCGUGGGAAAGCGACAUCGACAGCGAGGACGAACGCUUUUCCUCUCGACGACCAAUCACAGUUGCCCUAGUGGAAAACAACUGCAUGAGCCACAAUGGAGCAGUUGGAGUCUAUGUAAAAAGCAGCGAGCCUCUGAAUGUGGUGGCUAACAUGGUCAACAAUAACAGAGGAGCGGGAGUGUCAAUCAUUCAGAGCGCUCAGCUGACGCGAUUAGUCGGCAACUGUGUUCUCGGCAAUGGCUGGAUGGGCGUAACCGUGGACAGAGAAAGCAGGGUGGAGCUCCGUGGCAAUGGUGUCUAUGGCAAUGGCUGCCAUGGCGUCUGUUUCCGAGGCGAUGGUCUGAUUAUGGAAAAUGAUGUUGUUGGAAAUAAUUCCGUUGGAAUACGAGUGAUGGACAACGCGGAUGUUAAAGUAUUGAGGAAUCGCGUUCAGGCAUUGCGGGGUUAUGGGAUUACGGUGAAGGAGCGGGUACGAGGUGUGGUGCAGGAAAACCUGGUUUAUCAAGGACACCCUACAAAUACUAAAGCCCCCAUACGAACCAGUCCACAAAACCUGGAGUGUGUCGUACUUAACAACUCUCUGGUCACACCAAGAUCACAAACCCUUUGGGCUUUGGAAAAUCCACCUCCUCGUCCUCACAAUAGUAACCCUUCCAGUGUCCCACCCUCAACAACACACCCCACUCACCUCGCCAUCACAAUGACAAACCGAAUCACUGCCUCUGUAGAAAGUGGUUGCCAUAACAAUGGCAGCAUCUUCUGCUCUAUUCUUUGAAGAACGGGGGAUCACAUCAGAUUUGAUGACAUUUAUAAAACCAAGUCCUCAACAUGACUCCCUAAACCACUUGGAAAUAAAGGAAUGAGUUGGAGUUCUAGGAUCAUGGGGGGCACGAGUUGAUGCCUGGGGCCCAGUUUAAUGACAUUUGACACUACAUUAAUUCUGUGGGCACAAUUUGAUGCACCCUAAACAAGGUAGGGCCACGCACCAAAAGCUCUGAGAACCACGGUGUUAAGAUGAUGAACAAAAGGAUUUUAAAGCAAGACUAAAAUUAAGCCUCAAUUGCGUGACUUUAUUCAAAAGCACUUAGCACUCACUAUAUUAGAAUAUUAUGUUUACCAAAGGUCUUUCUCAAUCGAACUUUUAAGUUUUCCACUUUGAGUGAGAAAUUUCACUUACCCAAAAUGGAAAGUAGGCUGGUUUGGGAUCAUCUUGCUGGAGCACUUACUGUUUGUAUCAGAUCAUCACACAUAAACUGUCUACUUCACUCAACAGUGCACAUUUGUGUUGGGAACCAUAGACUGUCCUAUAUCUCAAUUUUUUGAGACGGGAUUAAACCUUGGAAUUAAGGAACACAUUCAGCAUCUAUUCAAGACACUUGAAAGUCAGAUGGCAGUGAGAGACGUUUCACGUGAUUUUCUAUCUGUUCUCCCAAAAGACGUGGCUGCAAAUAGGAGAUAAACAGGUUCGGUGCUCCCUGGGAAUUCUGGUCAUGCUGCUUGUGCUGUAAUGAAUAAAAACAUCACUUCACUCGCUGGGUACAGUGAUUCAGCCAGUCAGGUGAUGUAAUGCUCAAGUCACAUCAAGAGUGAUACUGAGCCGUUCUGUGAAAAUUUACUGGUGCACUUUACUGCAUUGUUAACCCAGCAUGAACUGACUACAUGUAGAACAGAGGACAAGCAGGAACAGAAGAAACAUCAUCUUAAAAUUGAUUUCACAGACAUAGAGUAAAAGCAAUGAAUAAUUUUUUAACUGUAUAAUAGUGAAGAGGUCAAAUAUUUUGUUAUGCAAUGUUACAGCAGAUUUACUUUUCUUGAGAGCUGGUAGCUGGCUCACUGCUUUAGGUAAAAGGUACACUGUGCCUAAACUAAUCUGAACAGUAGAAUAAUAGAGAUCAUUAUUGUCUGAUGGUUAACUCUUAGUGUGUAUGUAAAUGAUAAGAGAUAAUACUAAACAAUUCAGACUUAAAUGUAUACCUAAGUUAUCUUAAAGCAGUUUUUUUUUUCAAACCUUAUGAAGCCAAGGACCUCCAAAUAUGAUAAAUGUUUUGUAGGGACCCCUACCAAAAUAUACAUACAAUGUGUAAUAAAUAUAUGAUUGGCUACUGCCAGAUAAAUGGGACUGUAAUAAGAAAAACACGCUAGAAAGAUAAAGCAAAUAUAAAUGAUUCUGAAAUGCAUGUAGGAAGAAAAACCUAAACACCUAAUAACUUUUUCUGGGGACCCCUAUAGAAGCUCCUGGAGGUCACUAGACCCAAAUUGGAAAACCCCUUUCUUAAAGUAGUCCAGUAAAACUAAUGCUGGGUUGUUGUUUUUUUGAGUCAAUGGCUAUGUUUGAAAGAGUACUAACAUACUAUUUACUAAACACUGCUUAUACUGCCUAAACAUAGUAAAGACAUGAGGUAUUUUUCAUCAUAAUAAUACGGUAAUUAAAUAGUAGCAUAUUGCAGAUGUUGCACCAAAAUUGUGUGAAAACGACACUUUUUCUAGGAUUUGCCUCUGAAAAUAGUUUACCGAGGCAUAAAAGAAAUGCUAAAUUGAUGACCCAUUCAGUUAAAACCCAGCUAAGAUAUUUUUACUUAGUGAUUUAUUGUUUUCUACAUAGUAAAAAAAAAUGUGUUGUUUCAGCUUUAGAAAGUAAGUGUUUCUGCUGCCUUAGAAUGUUGAUUUAAUUCAACGUAAAAAUAUUAAUCAACUUAAGUUGAAUUCAACAUAAAAAAAGAAUUUAAGGAAGCACGUGUUUGUGCUGCCUUGAAAAUCUUAGUUGAAACAAAUAUCUUUUUUUACAUGGAAGAAAAAAGUAUCCUAAAUUACUAACAAAUAUUGAAAUCAAACAUUGAUGCUCCUAAUCCUAUAAUUAAGAUUAUAACACUUUAUCCUGGAUUUCACAGACAGGGUCACAUUUACUCCUAGUUCAUGUUUAGUCAGAGCAUUGCAUUGUGGGAUGCAGCAUGCUCUGUUGUAUUUUAGCAAAUGUAAUAGAAGGUCAUCAAUUGUAUGCAUACCGAGAAUUUUUAUACAGUGCAAACAUGCUAGUACACGAAUAGUGUGGUAGUAUACUACACAAACAUAGUCCUGUCUAAAUAGAUUUUCUACCAAAACAUUUCAGGAGCUGAAUUUAAACCUCAAUAAACAAGUUGAUUUGCAGCAGGCUGCUACUGUUUUUGUAACAUUUACAGUUGUUUGAUUGUAAAGUGCAAUAUGUAUCUACUAAAAUGUGCCUAUUAUGUUUUGUUGUUUUUUUACCUAUGUGUAGUACAAAUAUAAUCUUUCUAUAACUGCAAAUCUUUUAAUUUCCCCAACACUUAUUAUUUAUCUGUAAUUUGCA